AACGAACGCUGGCGGCAUGCCUAACACAUGCAAGUCGAACGAGACCUGCUGGUCUAUUGGCUCACUCGUUCUUAACGCGGAGGAACCGGCCCUUAGGUUCGGAAUAACUCCCCGAGAGGGGUACAAAUACCGGAUAAGGUCUUUAGACCAAAGUGUGAUCGCCUUUGGAUGGGGCCGCGUGAGGUUAGCUAGUUGGUAGGGUAAACGCCUACCAAGGCGAAGAUCCAUCGCUGGUCUGAGAGGAUGAUCAGGACCCCUGGGACUGAGACCCGGCCCAGACUCCUCCGGGAGGCAGCAGUGGGGACUAUUGGACACUGCGCGAGAGAUUGCUGCCGCCAGGUCGCGUGAGUGAUGAAGGCCUUAGGAUUGUAAAGCUUUCUUAUACGGGAUGAUAAUGACAGUACCGGGAGAAUAAGCUACGGCUAACUACGUG
rnacentral:rRNA from 1 species